CGAGCCGUUAGGGCCAAGCUGGAGGGAGGGCGGCGAGGCGCGGCUGCCGAUUGGAGGAAAAAAAAGUGGAAGCCCUGGGACCCACCAUCAUGAACAAUCGGGGAGAAGACAAGAGGCCAGCAAAGGAAUGAACACAGGGACGCAUGAGACAUUUGGUGCCGAAGACCUGGGUCAGCGGGACUCCUUUGGGAGACCAGUCCCCCAUCCUCACCCUCACUCUGUGAAGAGAUCCACCUACGACCUUGGGUCCUCAGACCAACCAGCCUAAGGAACAUCUCACCUAUUUUAAAUCGGACAGGAAUGUCAGGCCUCUGAACCCAAGCUAAGCCAUCAU
rnacentral:lncRNA from 1 species